UGUUACACUGGAAAAUAAUAGCGAAGGAUGGCUUGAGUAUUUAUAACUAAUUUGUUUGAAAUUCAAAGAACCUGGCGGUACUUUAGUCUGGUUAGAGGAACCUGUUGUAUAAACGAUAAACCACGUAGAAUCUCUCUUGUUCUUGUCAAGCCAGUAUACCUUCAUUGUUAGAUAAUUUUAUAUAUGAAUUAUUGUAAUUGAUAGAAAUCAAAUAUAUUAGAUCAAGGUGCUGCUUAUGAAUAAGUAUAAAUGGGUUACAAUAUUUUUAAAGAGGCUGAUUAUGUUGGGAAAUUGACAUAUGAGGAUGGAUUUAAUUGUAAAUUUUAGAUUUAAUAAGGUAAAAUGAUAAUAGCUCUAAAGUGU
rnacentral:rRNA from 1 species